rnacentral:lncRNA from 1 species
AUUUUCAAGAGCAUCAUUGACUGCAUAUCACUUUAAAGAGUCCAGUGGGAACAUCAUGGCUCCAUUUGCAGGGAUGUCUCUGAAGUCCAGAAGAGGCUCUUGCCUGUAGAGUCCUGGCUCAGUUCAUUUUCACUCACAGGUGGAUGAAGCAAAGCACAAGGAGGAACAGUGACCUGGAGGUGAGAUCCCAGAGGUGGCCUCUGGUUCUGGAUGACGGAAGGAACAGUUUCUGGACGCCUCAUUCACCAGCGGUGUGGUCUUCGACACUCUCUGCACUCUUUGGACUAUGUCUGCUUCAUCAGUGCCUUCAUCCCAACCAGCCCAAUGCCCGACACACGCAGGAACCAUGGUGUCAGAUGACCCAGUCUAGAAGUGCUUCUACUCCAGCCUGGACCAGAACCCUCAGAUUCUUCUGUUGGAACUGGGACACCAGCACAGUCUCAUUGGCCCUUCUUGAACAUAGCAUCUGGGCAGCAUUUGAACUCGUCAGUGCUGAGGCCAAAGGUAGCUGAGCUCUUAUGGAGGCUGGAGGUGGACUUGCAGGAAGCUGUGGUGAUGACUGACAGGGCAAACGCAUGCACUUAAGGUACAAUCCAUUGCUUGAGUGAUUGUGAUGAUUCUGCAUACUUUUCUUGCACCACAAGCAGUGAUUGUGCAUCCAGAGAGAGCAAGUGGGCCAAUUUUGAUAAUCCAAGCUACACAGCAGGUUUUGCUGGCUUCUACUAGCAGUCAGUAGAAAUCCCCCCAUGCUAGAUUGCUGGCAGGUUUUACCUAGGAUUCAGAAGUCACCUGGCGGUCAUCUCUAAUCCUUUCUGAUAUAGCAUAUGACUUCCACUCUCCCCCUGUGCUCCCUCUCUCCUAGAGCCUGCCUUGUCAAGA